AAGGGAAGCGCUUGCAAUCAGACUUGCACUUGGUGUUCAUCAGGGUCUCGUACCCUGUGUACUUCAUCAAGUUCAGGCCAGCAUCAGUUUUCGCCGGGGGAUAAAGGCUUCGGGAAUGUGGCUCCCCUCGGGGAGUGUUAUAGCCCGUUGUGUAAUACCCUGGUGGGGACUGAGGUUCGCGCUUCUGCAAGGAUGCUGGCGUAAUGGUCAUCAACGA
rnacentral:rRNA from 1 species